rnacentral:rRNA from 1 species
GACGAACGCUGGCGGCGUGCCUAAUACAUGCAAGUCGAACGGGGAACACAGACGGAAGUUUUCGGAUGGAAGGAAGUGUUCUUAGUGGCGGACGGGUGAGUAACGCGUGAGCAAUCUGCCCAUAAGAGGGGGAUAACAGUUAGAAAUGACUGCUAAUACCGCAUAAGACCACACUACCGCAUGGUAGAGGGGUCAAAGAUUUAUCGCUUAUGGAGGAGCUCGCGUCCCAUUAGGUAGUUGGUAGGGUAACAGCCUACCAAGCCUGCGAUGGGUAGCCGGCCUGAGAGGGUGAACGGCCACACUGGAACUGAGAGACGGUCCAGACUCCUACGGGAGGCAGCAGUAGGGAAUAUUGGGCAAUGGGGGAAACCCUGACCCAGCAACGCCGCGUGAGGGAAGAAGGCCUAACGGUUGUAAACCUCUGUCAUAUGGGAAGAAGGAAUGACAGUACCAUAUGAGGAAGCUCCGGCUAACUACGUGCCAGCAGCCGCGGUAAUACGAGCGUG